rnacentral:rRNA from 1 species
UAGGGAAUCUUCCACAAUGGACGCAAGUCUGAUGGAGCAACGCCGCGUGAGUGAAGAAGGUUUUCGGACCGUAAAGCUCUGUUGUUGGUGAAGAAGGAUAGAGGUAGUAACUGGCCUUUAUUUGACGGUAAUCAACCAGAAAGUCACGGCUAACUACGUGCCAGCAGCCGCGGUAAUACGUAGGUGGCAAGCGUUGUCCGGAUUUAUUGGGCGUAAAGCGAGCGCAGGCGGAAGAAUAAGUCUGAUGUGAAAGCCCUCGGCUUAACCGAGGAAUUGCAUCGGAAACUGUUUUCUUGAGUGCAGAAGAGGAGAGUAGAACUCCAUGUGUAGCGGUGGAAUGCGUAGAUAUAUGGAAGAAUACCAGUGGCGAAGGCGGCUCUCUGGUCUGCAACUGACGCUGAGGCUCGAAAGCAUGGGUAGCGAACAGGAUUAGAUACCCUGGUAGUCCAUGCCGUAAACGAUGAGUGCUAAGUGUUGGGAGGCUUCCGCCUCUCAGUGCUGCAGCUAACGCAUUAAGCACUCCGCCUGGGGGAGUACGACCGCAAGGUUGAAACUCAAAGGAAUUGAC